ACAAGCAGCGGAGCGUGUGGUUUAAUUCGAUGCUACACGGAGAACCUUUACCAGGGUUUGACAUGCAAGUGGUAGGAAACCGAAAGGUGACCGACCCUUCGGGGAGCUUGCACAGGUGCUGCAUGGCUGUCGUCAGCUCGUGUCGUGAGAUGUUCGGUUAAGUCCGCUAACGAGCGCAACCCUCGCUGUGUGUUAUAUGUGUCACACGGGACUGCCGGUCUUAAGCCGGAGGAAGGUGGGGAUGAUGUCAAGUCAGCAUGGCCUUUAUAUCCUGGGCUACACACACGCUACAAUGGCCAGCACAGUAGGUUGCUAAGCCGCGAGGUGGAGCCAAUCCAUAAAGCUGGUCUCAGUUCAGAUUGCAGGCUGCAACCCGCCUGCAUGAAGAUGGAGUUGCUAGUAACCGCAGGUCAGCUAUACUGCGGUGAAUACGUUCCCGGGGCUU
rnacentral:rRNA from 1 species